CACGUAGGGGGCAAGCGUUGUCCGGAUUUAUUGGGCGUAAAGAGCUCGUAGGCGGUUCGGCAAGUCACGUGUGAAAUCUCCACGCUCAACGUGGAGGCGCCACGUGAGACUGCUGUGACUCGAGUCCGGUAGGGGAGCGUGGAAUUCCCGGUGUAGCGGUGAAAUGCGCAGAGAUCGGGAGGAACACCCGUAGCGAAGGCGGCGCUCUGGGCCGGUACUGACGCUGAGGAGCGAAAGCGUGGGGAGCAAACAGG
rnacentral:rRNA from 1 species